UACGUAGGGAGCAAGCGUUGUUCGGAUUUACUGGGCGUAAAGGGCGCGUAGGCGGCCCGGUAAGUAGGGGGUGAAAUCCUGCGGCUUAACCGCAGGGCUGCCUUCUAAACUGUCGGGCUCGAGCACGGUAGAGGCAGAUGGAAUUCCCGGUGUAGCGGUGGAAUGCGUAGAGAUCGGGAAGAACAUCAGUGGCGAAGGCGGUCUGCUGGGCCGUUGCUGACGCUGAGGCGCGACAGCGUGGGGAGCAAACAGG
rnacentral:rRNA from 1 species